rnacentral:tRNA from 1 species
UCCGGCAUGGUUAAGUGGUUAGGAUACCUGGCUCUCACCCAGGAGGCCCCGAGUUCGAUUCCCGGUGUCGGAA